UUUAAAGUGUUGCAUUUUUAUAGUUAUUAUUGUUGGGGUUUUUUUUUUAGUUGUUUAAAAAAAAAAAACAACACAUCAUACGAUCUACUUUUAUGUCUCAGAAGGCGCUUUGGUUAAAUUGUUAAAAACAGGAAUCAUAGAUAAAAAUGUAACAGUUUGGGGAAGUGAGUUUUCUUGGAGGGAAUGCAUCCGAAGACAGCGAGUUCCCGAAUCCAAUGUGUCUUUGUGUUCCUCAUCAGUGUCGGUGUGUGCAACAAAGCAUUAAAGCCGGACAAAUUCAUUUCUGUUUAUGUUUUAAAGGCAUUCCUUUAUUCCUACAUUCCUAUAUAUGCAAGGAAAACAAUGCAUAUUUUUCUCUCUAAAGUAAACACUUCAACUUUUCACUUCAAGUGGCUUUGCUGUUUGCCAAAAUGAAUUUCCUGGUUAAAUUCAAUUUUAAAUAAAGGUUUUUAAAAAAAUAAAUAAAUAAAGGAUUGUGUUGGAACAGUUGACUGUUAAAUUGUUUUCAUUUGUCCAUAUUAAAGUCCUGGGUAUUUUUGGCUGCUAAACAAAAAUUAUGAAAUCAUGGUGCAUUAGCUUUUUUAAAAAAAAAUAAUAACAAUAAUAAAAAAAAAAAUUAUUCAUCAGCUACGUCUAAAACUUUGGAUGGAGACAAUAAAUCCGGCA